rnacentral:rRNA from 1 species
CGACGAGUUUGAUCCUGGCUCAGAUUAGAACGCUGGCGGAAUGCGUUUACGACAUGCAAGUCGAACGGUAGAGGGGGCAACCCCUUGAGAGUGGCGAACGGGUGAGUAAUGUAUCGGAACGUGCCCAGUCGUGGGGGAUAACGUAGUGAAAAUUACGCUAAUACCGCAUACGAUCUAUGGAUGAAAGCGGGGGAUCGCAAGACCUCGCGCGAUUGGAGCGGCCGAUAUCAGAUUAGGUAGUUGGUAGGGUAAAGGCCUACCAAGCCAACGAUCUGUAGCUGGUCUGAGAGGACGACCAGCCACACUGGAACUGAGACACGGUCCAGACUCCUACGGGAGGCAGCAGUGGGGAAUUUUGGACAAUGGGGCGAAAGCCUGAUCCAGCCAUUCCCGCGUGCAGGAUG